rnacentral:lncRNA from 1 species
UUUUUUUCAAUAUAACUCCAGCUCAUAUCAGUUUUUACUUUGGUGAUUAGUUGUGAUAGGAAAUAAACAGCACUUUACAGGUAGUGAAUACUUGAUUAAAUACUUCAUGAAUGAAUGAAUCCUCUAAGUAUUCUUUAGAAAAACUACCUAAGUACCAUUUGCCUCCUGCCUGAUAUUAAAAAUGCAUCAUAUUGAAGUUCUCCUCUUUUAAACCUCUGGGAAUGAGCCAGGGCCACUUAGCAGUACAUUUAAAAACCUUUGUAUGCAUCUGACACAAAAUAGUCACCCAACAUUAUUAAUAAUUGUUUGCUUGUUUUAAGUAGCUUUUAAAUAAUUUGAAUUAUGAUAUGCAGAGGCAUUUCCCCUGCUUUCUGUGAUGCCCUUCUGUUCAGUCCUCUGUCAUCUGGAUGUAGAGUUGACUUGUUUAAAGUAGAAAGUAAAGAAAAAUGUAAAAGUGCCCUGGAAUACGUUAACCAUGGAAAUCAGAGAACUUUUCAAAUAGGAAACUGCAAAGCCAAUGUGAUAGGCUAUAAAUUAUUGUUUGACACCUUUCCUGUGUGGCUUACUUUUUUAAAAAGCAAUAUAUUAAUAUUGUAAAAACCUGGAGUCUUGAACUGAACACACACACACACAGACAGAGACAGCUAAAAACUUAACUACUGUUUGCUUUGAACAAUGGGGCAAACAGAGCAUGAAAUUAAGUGUCGGGCACAUUAAAUCUACAGAUUUUAAACUUUUUAUAUGGUCACUUUUCAAUGAGUAAUAGUAACUUGAAAACUAGUUUGACUCUAAAAAGAAUUAUGGAAUAAAAUACAUUUGAUGAGUAGAAAUAAUGUGAUUGAAAGUGUUGCUGGGAGAGAGGCUGGAAUCAUUCUGCUUGGAGUAUGAAAGAUUUUUGGUGCUUCAUAAUCAAUAAUCCCAAAUGACUCUGAAGGGCUCCACUGAUGUAUAAAAGGUACAGAAAAGUAAUGUAAUGGAGGGACAGAGAAUCAGUGGAAAAUUAGUUUGGAAUCCUUUUCCAGGCUUUUCUUUAAAGGAUCAGAAAAAUGUCCUGCACUCAAUUCUCUCUGGUCUGUAUAUCAAAUGUGUAACCCAGGUAUUUUCAUUAUUAAGAUAAUGUGCUUUCAAAUCAAAGAGGUCAAGAAAUGCAGAAGAUACCUUUAAACCUUUAGCUCUUUAUGCACCUGCUCACAAUGCCAAAUGGCUAAAAGAUCAGAAUUAGGCCCCAGGAAAAAAAAAAUGGAAAAUAAUGAGCAUGAAAAGGCAGAGAAUGAAGGUUUUUUUUAACUUAACAACCUGUAUAAAUUCAGGGGGAAAAAAAAACAAAAAUAGAAAAUGAAAAGAGGAGCAUAUUAAAAGGAAUAAACAGGGGAUAGAAAAAGUAAAAACAUGGGAAAUUUUUAAUGAUUUAUGGGAAAUGCUGUUUUAGUUAAGUAAGGAAACUGCAUUUUUGCUGUAUCUUUUAGUGCCAAUAUUCAUUCCUACAGACUCUGGAUGAUGCUUGUUGAGUGGGAGAGUUUUACUUGUUUUGGAUUUGUUAAGCGCUUCCAUAGGAUCCAGGAUUUCAUUUCCACAAACAACCUUCAUGUGCCAAGGGAGCCUUGCUUUGUGAGAUUCUGGAUUUCUAUUUAUGGCCCUGAAUGAUUCUCCCUAGAGAAGGGCUGUCAGGCACACAGACCAGAAAGACAAGACAUAUUAGAAGAAAGACUUAGCAAAUGGAAAUGCUUCUCUUGGCCAAGGUGUGUGUACUGAUUGGGAGCUUGGAUUCAUGUUUAAUUGGGUAUUUGUAGCUAAUCACAGAGAAGGCUCAGAUCUCUCUUGUGAAUAAUAAGUGCCAGCUUCAUGCUUGGAUCUAAGGAAUCAACAGGAUAGGGUCCCAUGUUUCUUAUCUUUCAUGCUGUUUUCUGGAAGAGAAUUAUGGAAUGGCAACCCCCAAAUCCUUUGCAGUUUUGCCUUCCUGUGUAUCUGGGUAAAUUAUGCCAUUGGGAAAUAACAAAUCUGGUUUACUAUGCAGCUGUCAAUGAAUGUUUCUAAAAACAUGUUUUAAUCUGCUUUCCAACUGACCUACACUUCGUUAACAAUUAAUAGUAGAGUAGUGGGAGUAGUAACCGUAGCAGAAGUAGAAGUAAAAAGAAAAUAAUAAUGACAGGCUAUCAUUUAUUAAUUAUUAUUGUCAGAAGUACCAGAGAAUAAAUGACAUGUUUUGAGUUUAUUGUCUAAUCAAAUCAUCAUAGCAAACUUAUGAGAUAAGCAAAUUAUCCUCCUUUCCUUUAUGUUGACGCAGAGGCAUAAAGAAAUUGUCCUCUUCUUGCAAUUAAAUAGCCAGCCUAUGAAUGCAAAUCUAGGUCCCUGGAAUUCCAUUUGAGCAGAGUGGGGCUGAGUACCUGUCCGUGGUGUCAUCCAGCCUCUCUUGUUUAGGUCUCUUGGUCUUUUGAGAUCAUACUUGUGAAUGUAAAGCGUACAAUGAAAGGCUCUUCUGUGUCAGUCAGUGCAUAGUACCCUACACCUUAUGCAAUACUGGGAAUCAAGUAUCCAGUAAAUACAUUUGAAUGAAUGGAUGAAUUAGGACAGAGCUCUCUUUAUUUUCAAAUUCAGAUACACAAGACCCUUCUUGGCUUUGCAGGUUGCCACCUUGCCCCUCUUUGUAGCAUACCAAAGCCUUUCUCUACCAUCAAAAUUGUUCAGGAAAAAACACAAGGACCCUAGUUUCUGAUCCAGCAUGUAAGAAGCUUGCAAGUUAUCAUUCCAUCCUAAUAACAAGUAAAAAGCUGAACGCAUUGAAAGAUCAGUAAUCUCCUUAGAUCCAUAAGAGAAGUGAGGUCACAGGACAAACCACUGCCCCUGAAAUUAGACCAACAGAUGCAGACAGAGAAUCACGUCUACCCAGAGCAUAAACCUCCAUGUGAACCAGUGCUAGGGUGGGGAAACUUGAACUGUAGUUGAUAAGUUGCUGAAGACUCAGUGGUCGCAAGUCUGAGAAAUAAAAAUCUCCAUGGGCGCCCAGUCAUUGGUGGAUACCUUACUUUUGUGAAUCUGACCUCUUGAAGGUCUACCAGGUUCUCACAGUGAAUGUCAGAGACGGAUUCCUUUGUGCAUCUGGCAGAGGAAGAGGAAAGGAACUAUUUUGAAAUGCAAGAGUGCGUUCUGGGAGUUCCCAAAGUGGUGAAGCAGAAAUAAAUAAACUAGUAUCCAUGAGGAUGUGGGUUUAAUCCCUGGCCUCACUCAGUAGGUCAAGGAUCCAGUGUUGCCGUGAGCUGUGGUGUAGGUGGCAGAUGCAGCUAGGAUCCCACGUUGCUGCGGCUAUGGUGCAACGUGGGAUCCUAGCAGCCAAAGCUCCGAUUUGACCCCUAGCCUGAAAACUUCCAUAGGCCAAGAGUGCAGUCCUAGAAAAGCAAACAAUAAGGCGGGGGGGAGCAUGCAUUCUGUUCUUCUUAACGAGUUUUUCUCUCAGGAGAAAUUACUAAUAGGAGCCUAUUCUGCUAUGGUAUUUUCAGAGCCUAAUGGUCUUGGAGGAAGGGAAAUAUCAACUCUAGUCCCCAUUAGCCUUCUAUGUGGGAGGAGGGAACUCCCCAUCUCCAGACCACUCCGACAAUCCUGCUGUACCUAAGGUGGGGCUGGGGACUGAGAGGCAUGUGUGAAGUUCACAGUUCAGAGGCACAGGCUCACUAAAAGACUGACCCCUAAUCACAGGACUAUAGAAUGCCCCCACCAUACCUUACCACCCACAUUGCUAAAGACUUACUUAUAGUAGUUACUUUUCUCCAGUACUUCUUUUCUGACUAACAAGACAUACUACAAGGCAAAUACAAUUUGAAGAGAUUGGAAAAGCAUAAAUAAACAGAUUCAAGUAUGGUGGGGAUGUUGGAAUUAUCAAACCAAGAACUUAAAACAAUUAUGAUUGAUAGGCUAAGAGCUUUAAUGCAUAAAGUACACAUCAUGCAGUAACAGAUGGGCAAUGUUAAGUAAAUGAGAAUUCUAACAAGGAACCAAAAGAACAUGUUAGAGAUCAAAAACACUAAAAGAAAUGAAGAAUGCUUUUUUUUAUUAAUUUAUUUAUUUUUCCCCUGUACAGCAUGGGGGCCAAGAUAUACUUACAUGCAUACAUUUUUUUUCCUACCCUUUGUUCUGUUACAAUAUAAGUAUCUAGACAUAGUUCUCAAUGCUACUCAGCAGGACCUCUUUGUAAAUCCAUUCCAAGUUGUAUCCAAUAACCCCAAGCUCCCAACACCUCUCACUCCCUCCCUCUCCCCUCGGGCGGCCACAAGUCUGUUCUCCAAGUCCAUGAUUUUCUUUUCUGUGGAGAUGUUCAUUUGUGCUGGAUAUUAGAUUCCAGUUAUAAGUGAUAUCAUAUGGUAUUUGUCUUUGUCUUUCUGACUUAUUUCACUCAGUAUGAGAGUCUCUAGUUCCAUCCAUGUUGCUAUAAAUGGUAUUCUAUCGUUCUUUUUUAUGGCUGAGUAGUAUUCCAUUGUGUAUAUAUACCACAUCUUCCUAAUCCAAUAGUCUGUCUGUAGACAUUUAGGUUGUUUCCAUGUCUUGGCUAUUGUGAAUAGUGCUGCAAUGAACAUGCAGGUGCAUUUGUCUCUUUAAAGUAGAGUUUUGUCUGGAUAUAUGCCCAAGAGUGGGAUUGUGGGAUCAUAUGGUAGUUCUAUGUAUAGAUGUCUAAGGUAUCUCUAGACUGUUCUCCACAGUGGCUGUACCAGCUUACCUUCCCACCAACAGUGCAGGAGGGUUGAAGAAUGCUUUUGAUGGGCUUAGCUGAGGAAAUAAUCUCUGUGCUUGAAAAUAUCUCAAUAGAAAUGUCCAAAACUGAAAAAUAGAUAGAAAAAAAGAACCCAGACUAGAUUACCUAAGAACUAUAGAACAAUUACAAAAGGUAUAGCGUAUAUGUAAUAACAAAAGGAGAAGAAAGAAAGGAAGAAAAUAAAUAUUUGCAAAAAAUAAUAACUUGAGAUUUUCCUCAGUUUAAUGUCAGAUACCAAACUACAGAUCCAGGAAGUUCAGACAACCCUAAGCAGGAUAAACACUGAAAAAAACCUAAGCCUGUGUAUAUCAUGUACAAACUGCUGAAAAUCAAAGAUAAACAAAUUCUUAAAGGAGCCAAAGGAAAAAAAAA